GUCCACACUGUAACGAUGAUAACUAGGUGUCGGCCGAAUCUGGUCGGUGCCACAGCGAAGCGUUAAGUUAUCCACCUGGGAGUACGCCGGCAACGGUGAACUCAAAUGAAUUGACGGGGUCCGCACAAGCGGUGGAGCAUGUGGUUAAUUCGAUGAUACGCGAGGAACCUUACCUAGGCUAGAAUGUGAAGGAUGAUACAGAAAUGGAUCAGUCAGCAAUGACCUGAACAAGGUGCUGCAUGGCUGUCGU
rnacentral:rRNA from 1 species